GUCCUAGCCCUAACGAUGAGCACUGGGUGUGGCCCUCACGGGGUCGUGCCGGAGCUAACGCAUUAAGUGCUCCGCCUGGGGAGUACGGUCGCAAGGCUGAAACUCAAGGAAUUGACGGGGCCCGCACAAGCGGUGGAGCAUGUGGUUCAAUUCGACGCAACGCGAAGAACCUUACCUGGGCUCGAAAUGUAGUCGCCGGUCUCAGAGAUGAGGCUUUCCCGCAAGGGACGGCUGCAUAGGUGCUGCAUGGCUGUCGU
rnacentral:rRNA from 1 species